UUGAACGCUGGCGGAAUGCUUUACACAUGCAAGUCGAGCGGCAGCGCGGGGGCAACCCUGGCGGCGAGCGGCGAACGGGUGAGUAACACAUCGGAACGUACCCAGUUGAGGGGGAUAACACAUCGAAAGAUGUGCUAAUACCGCAUACGACCUGAGGGUGAAAGUGGGGGAUCGCAAGACCUCACGCAGUUGGAGCGGCCGAUGUCGGAUUAGCUAGUUGGUGGGGUAAAGGCCUACCAAGGCGACGAUCCGUAGCUGGUCUGAGAGGACGACCAGCCACACUGGGACUGAGACACGGCCCAGACUCCUACGGGAGGCAGCAGUGGGGAAUUUUGGACAAUGGGCGCAAGCCUGAUCCAGCCAUUCCGCGUGAGUGAAGAAGGCCUUCGGGUUGUAAAGCUCUUUCAGACGGAAAGAAAUCGGGCGCGUGAAUAGCGUGCCUGGAUGACGGUACUGUCAGAAGAAGCACCGGCUAACUACGU
rnacentral:rRNA from 1 species